rnacentral:siRNA from 1 species
UCGAGUGAAGUUCAGUCGUCCC